AGAGUUUGAUCCUGGCUCAGAUUGAACGCUGGCGGCAGGCUUAACACAUGCAAGUCGAGCGGUAACAGGAGAAGCUUGCUUCUCGCUGACGAGCGGCGGACGGGUGAGUAAUACUUAGGAAUCUACCUAGUAGUGGGGGAUAGCUCGGGGAAACUCGAAUUAAUACCGCAUACGACCUACGGGAGAAAGGGGGCAACUUGUUGCUCUCGCUAUUAGAUGAGCCUAAGUCGGAUUAGCUAGAUGGUGGGGUAAAGGCCUACCAUGGC
rnacentral:rRNA from 1 species